rnacentral:rRNA from 1 species
UACGGAGGGUGCAAGCGUUAUCCGGAUUCACUGGGUUUAAAGGGUGCGUCGGUGGGCAGGUAAGUCAGUGGUGAAAUCUUUGGGCUUAACCCGAAAACUGCCAUUGAUACUAUUUGUCUUGAAUAUUGUGGAGGUCAGCGGAAUAUGUCAUGUAGCGGUGAAAUGCUUAGAUAUGACAUAGAACACCAAUUGCGAAGGCAGCUGGCUACACAUAUAUUGACACUGAUGCACGAAAGCGUGGGGAUCAAACAGG